GCAAGUCGAACGAGUUCUCGUUGAUGAUCGGUGCUUGCACCAAGAUUGAACAUGCCAACGAGUGGCGGACGGGUGAGUAACACGUGGGUAACCUGCCCUUAAGUGGGGGAUAACAUUUGGAAACAGAUGCUAAUACCGCAUAGAUCCAAGAACCGCAUGGUUCUUGGCUGAAAGAUGGCGUAAGCUAUCGCUUUUGGAUGGACCCGCGGCGUAUUAGCUAGUUGGUGAGGUAAUGGCUCACCAAGGCGAUGAUACGUAGCCGAACUGAGAGGUUGAUCGGCCACAUUGGGACUGAGACACGGCCCAAACUCCUACGGGAGGCAGCAGUAGGGAAUCUUCCACAAUGGACGCAAGUCUGAUGGAGCAACGCCGCGUGAGUGAAGAAGGCUUUCGGGUCGUAAAACUCUGUUGUUGGAGAAGAAUGGUCGGCAAAGUAACUGUUGUCGGCGUGACGGUAUCCAACCAGAAAGCCACGGCUAACUACGUGCCAGCAGCCGCGGUAAUACGUAGGUGGCAAGCGUUAUCCGGAUUUAUUGGGCGUAAAGCGAGCGCAGGCGGUUUUUUAAGUCUGAUGUGAAAGCCCUCGGCUUAACCGAGGAAGCGCAUCGGAAACUGGGAAACUUGAGUGCAGAAGAGGACAGUGGAACUCCAUGUGUAGCGGUGAAAUGCGUAGAUAUAUGGAAGAACACCAGUGGCGAAGGCGGCUGUCUGGUCUGUAACUGACGCUGAGGCUCGAAAGCAUGGGUAGCGAACAGGAUUAGAUACCCUGGUAGUCCAUGC
rnacentral:rRNA from 1 species